GACGAACGCUGGCGGCGCGCUUAACACAUGCAAGUCGAACGGAAAGGCCUGCUUUCCCUUGUGGAUUGCGGGUACUCGAGUGGCGAACGGGUGAGUAACACGUGAGUGAUCUGCCCCCAACUUGGGUAUAAGCCUGGGAAACUGGGUCUAAUUCCCGAUAGGACUGCAGGGUGGUGCCUGUGGUGGAAAACGAUUUUCUAGUGGUUGGGGAUGAGCUCGCGGCCUAUCAGCUUGUUGGUGGGGUAAUGGCCUACCAAGGCGGCGACGGGUAGCCGGCCUGAGAGGGUGGACGGCCACAUUGGGACUGAGAUACGGCCCAGACUCCUACGGGAGGCAGCAGUGGGGAAUAUUGCACAAUGGGCGGAAGCCUGAUGCAGCGACGCCGCGUGGGGGUUGACGGCCUUCGGGUUGUAAACUCCUUUCGACCGCGAGGAAGCCACCUGGUUGGAAGGGUGGUGACGGUAGUGGUAGAAGAAGCACCGGCUAACUACGUG
rnacentral:rRNA from 1 species